AGCACCUGGGCAGUCUGAAAGCCAAACCCACCUAGUUGUUAUAGGCCCUUUUUGCUGAGUUCUACGUGAAACAUAGAAGUUAAGGGGAAGAAAUGUUAAAGAUGCAUGAGGAAAAGCUAUCAGAAAUUCAAUGUGAAGUAGGAUGGUUUCAGUUUGCCGAGAGCUAGUCCCUAACUGAAUUUUCAGAGGCUUGUAAUGUGAGUACCCAGAUUUUACAUUACUGUAUGGAAAGGAUAGAGCUUGGCAUUUUCACUAGUACCUAAGCUGAUUCCAGAAAUUGCCUGAUUCCAGGAUUUUGCAUCACAUCAGAAAAUAUUCUACGUGGAACAUAAUGUUAAGAGAUGCUGCUUUGUAGUCUUCAACUUCCUUAUGGUGGAAGAAGAAGGUUACCAUGAAUUAUUUGAGACGUGGCAACACUGAUGGUUUACAAAUACUUCCUUUUUCCUACUUGAGAGGAGAAAAGGGAAUGCAGGAUGCCCUGAAUCAUCUAGUCCUAUCCACCCUACAGACCAGCACAUAUCAAGACAUCUCCACAUACACAGGAGAAGAACAGAAGUUACGUGCAAUUUCACAAAGUAAAAACUGCUCACGAUCUGGAGAGGCAUGGAAGAUAAGUCUCGUUCUGUCACUCAAAUCACAGGGCUGAAAACCAGGGCUGUUCCCCAUACCGACCUUCACUGGGAUAUCAAUAUACAUAACAGAUGGCCACUACCAGCAUGUGCUGUAUAAUUCUGACACUUCACAAUAAGUGCAGGUGCCAAGUGCCAACCCUCUGUGCUAGUUCUAGGCAGAUUUGGCCUCUGGGAAUGAUCCUGAUUUUCUCCAGUCAGAAGAGUCAGCACCAGUAGUUUCAGCUGAGUUAUCACCAGAGACUUGGUGUGAAACCAUCCUCCUCCUUUGUUCAUUAGGGGAGUUUCAUCUGAGCAGUAAAAUGUCAUCAUUCUCCCAAAGUAAACUGAGCUCUUUACUCUUGCAACUUCAGACACUGGAGCUCUUUGACACAAUUGUCCAAAAGGUUUGGGUGAAUUUUACCUGAUAUUUUUAUAUUUUACACAGAUGUCCUAAUAGAAAAGGUGACAAUUGUAUGGAGUAUUUCAAUAUAUUAAUUUUGCAGCACAUUCAGUAUGACCACAAGUUAUCUUUUCAAAUCAUAUUGACCAAGUGUUUUUGCAACAGGCAAGAUAAUCACAUCAGAAUUAAGAAUGAAAUUGUAAUGAUGAGAAGUAUAAAAAGAAUCAAAAUUUCAUUUUGAUGCAUUUCUAUUUUAUCACAGUGGCCUUUUUUCCCCUACUGAUUUCAAUUUUUUAUUAUCAUCUUGUAAAAUUUGUAAAUGAUAAUCAUUUAGGUUACAUAACGUUACUCGUUUUAGAAAUUCCAAAGCACAAAAACUUAGCCAUAGUUCAGAGUUCUGUUUUUGAAACAUGGUGAGAUCCAAAAUUAACUGUAAUUCCACCAUGCUUAAUCACUCAAUUAUUAUCAAGUAUUAUCAGUCACUCAAUUAUAUUAUUAUUAGGUAAACAGUAAACAGCUACAUUUGAUAAAUAUCUUGAUAACAGUUUGGUUGAGAUAUUAUGGGAAAAACUUUUUCUCUUUGAAAUAGCAGCUGUCCAACAGUUAUGUUUUCCAAUACUCUCUUCAUCCUAAAUUGUAUUUAAAGUGCAUUCAAAUAUUUAAGCCAGCUCUAGUCCAGUGGUACAUGACUUACAUGCAUACAAUUUUGUAGAAUUAAGAAUUCAUGAAUUAUGCAUACAAAAUGUGCCUUUCUCCCCCCCCCCAAAAAAACAAACAAACAAACAAACAAACAAAAGCAUAUAAAAUUUGAUCACCUAAACAAAAUGAAUAGUAAGUGUUUGACACAGCCCCUGAAAUAAAUGGUGGUGGAUGCUCCCAUAUAUCUAUCACCUUGGGUACAUGCUCCAAACAAAGCCUUAACUGUCCUCUUCAUUUUCUUUCCACUACAGCUGAUUCCUUGUACACAGAAUUGAAUCCUUCUAUAAAAUAACCUGAAAUGUCAUAUCUUAUGUGAUACAGAUCUGUGCCCCAAAAUGACAAAUAAAUUAUUUUUUCCAAACUCCA